rnacentral:rRNA from 1 species
UGAGGAAUCUUGCGCAAUGGGCGAAAGCCUGACGCAGCGACGCCGCGUGGAGGAUGAAGGUCUUAGGAUUGUAAACUUCUGUUAAGUGGAAAGAAAUGUCUCGUUAUAAUACAGCGAGAAGAUGACGGUACCAUUAGAGAAAGCACCGGCUAACUUCGUGCCAGCAGCCGCGGUAAUACGAAGGGUGCGAGCGUUAUUCGGAUUGAUUGGGCGUAAAGGGUGCGCAGGCGGAAUGCUAAGUCAACUGUUAAAUUUCCCGGCCUAACCGGGAGUCAGCGGUAGAUACUGGCGUUCUUGAGGGUGGAAGAGAGAAGUGGAAUUCUCGGAGUAGCGGUAAAAUGCGUAGAUCUCGAGAGGAACACCGAUGGCGAAGGCAGCUUCUUGGUCCAUUUCUGACGCU